rnacentral:rRNA from 1 species
AUGGCCGCCGCCGCCACCGCCGCCGCCGCGACCGGCACACUUCUUCCCCACGCACUAUUGAAUCAUCGCUCGCCUCCGCCGCCGCAGCUCCUUGCGCUGUCCUCCUCCUUCCGCCGCCUCUCCUUAUCCACCUCCCAUCGCAGGACCACCCAUUUAGUCGCCCACUCAGACGCCGGCGCCGUUGAGCCGGAGCCCGUGUCUGAGCCUGCUCCUGAGGGCGAGCCUGUCGCUGCCUCUGCUGACUCCGAGGAGGGGGAGGCGGAGGGGGCUGUGGCAUUGGCGGAGGAAGAGGAGGAGCCGGCGCCGAGGCCCAAGCCGAUUAAGUUCGGCGAGAUCAUCGGGAUUCUGAACAAGCAGUUCAUCGAGGAGGCUGAGAAGGUGAAAGUGCUUCCGGAUUUGAAGCCUGGUGACAUCAUCGAGCUUAGAAUGCAACGUCCCAACAAGAGGAGAUUGUCUCUCUUUAAGGGUAUAAUCAUUGCAAAGCACAAAUCUGGUGUUCACACCACGAUCCGCGUCAGGAGGAUUAUUGCCGGUGUUGGAGUUGAAAUUACAUUCCCCAUAUACUCACCAAGGAUCAAGGAGAUCAAAGUAAUCAGACACAAGAAGGUGAGGAGGGCAAAGUUGUACUACCUGAAGUACAAGCUUCCCCGUUUCUCAACUUUCAAGUGA